AGUGAACGCUGGCGGUAGGCCUAACACAUGCAAGUCGAACGGCAGCACAGUAAGAGCUUGCUCUUACGGGUGGCGAGUGGCGGACGGGUGAGGAAUACAUCGGAAUCUACUUUUUCGUGGGGGAUAACGUAGGGAAACUUACGCUAAUACCGCAUACGACCUACGGGUGAAAGCAGGGGAUCUUCGGACCUUGCGCGAUUGAAUGAGCCGAUGUCGGAUUAGCUAGUUGGCGGGGUAAAGGCCCACCAAGGCGACGAUCCGUAGCUGGUCUGAGAGGAUGAUCAGCCACACUGGAACUGAGACACGGUCCAGACUCCUACGGGAGGCAGCAGUGGGGAAUAUUGGACAAUGGGCGCAAGCCUGAUCCAGCCAUACCGCGUGAGUGAAGAAGGCCUUCGGGCUGUAAAGCCCUUUUGUUGGGAAAGAAAAGCAGCAGGUUAAUACCCCGCUGUUCUGACGGUACCCAAAGAAUAAGCACCGGCUAACUUCGUG
rnacentral:rRNA from 1 species